GAAAGCCCAUUUGCAUAAUAAGAUAGGCAGGAUGGGGGUGGUGACCAGCCUUCUCCGCAUGCCAUGUAAACAUCACACCUGAUCGAACCAAUCUGUGAGCCCUAUGUAAAUCAGACACUGCCUUCUCAAGCCUGCCUAUAAAAUCCAGUGAACUCUGCUGCCGACCAGUCUUUUCUCUCCGCAGCACUUCUCUCUCACUGGAGAGAGAACUGUUCUCCUUUCUCUUUCUUCUGCCUAUUAAGCCUCUGCUCCUAAACUCCUCAUGUGUGUCUGUGUCCUAAAUUUUCCUGGCAUGGCAGGACAAACCCCGGGUAUUUACCACAGACAACAAAACCGCUUCACUAUGAUGUAUGCAUGCUGCAAAGGAAGAGACAGAAUCUUGCUCUAUCACCCAGCUGGAGUGCAGUGGCACCAUUGCAGCUUACUGCAGCCUCAAACUCCUGGCUCAAGGGAUCCUUCAGCUUCAGCCUCCUGGUUAACUAGGACUAUAGGUUUACAAGAACUGGUCAGUAAAGCUGGUUUUUCAAUUGGUGCUGGAUGCCAAUCACGAUCUCCCAUGGCCUGUGGCUUGCAGUGCUC
rnacentral:lncRNA from 10 species